rnacentral:rRNA from 1 species
UACGGAGGAUGCAAGCGUUAUCCGGAUUUAUUGGGCGUAAAGCGUCCGCAGGUGGUUUUCCAAGUCUGCUGUUAAAGCGCGAGGCUUAACCUCGUACAGGCAGUGGAAACUGGAUGACUAGAGUAUGGUAGGGGUAGCGUGAAUUCCCAGUGUAGCGGUGAAAUGCGUAGAUAUUGGGAAGAACACCAGCGGCGAAAGCGCGCUACUGGGCCAUUACUGACACUCAUGGACGAAAGCUAGGGGAGCGAAAGGG